rnacentral:rRNA from 1 species
CCCGCGACAAGCGGUGGAGUAUGUGGUUUAAUUCGAUGCAACGCGAAGAACCUUACCUGGUCUUGACAUCCCGGAGACCCUUAGGAAACUAGGGGGUGCUUCCAUCUGGAAGAAUCUGGAGACAGGUGCUGCAUGGCUGUCGUCAGCUCGUGUCGUGAGAUGUUGGGUUAAGUCCCGCAACGAGCGCAACCCUUUGCCUUUAGUUGCCAGCAGUUCGGCUGGGCACUCUAAAGGGACUGCCGGUGUUAAACCGGAGGAAGGUGGGGAUGACGUCAAAUCAUCAUGCCCCUUAUGACCUGGGCUACAAACGUGAUACAAUGGCUGGAACAAAGGGAUGCGAAGCAGUGAUGUGGAGCGAAACCCAUAAAAACAGUCUCAGUUCGGAUUGCAGUCUGCAACUCGACUGCAUGAAGUUGGAAUCGCUAGUAAUCGCGGAUCAGCCAAGCCGCGGUGAAUACGUUCCCGGGCCUU